GCACUGUCAGUGGUGGCUCACCCAGAUAACGGACAGUGUCUCUCUUUCUUUCUUCUUGGACUUGCAUUGUUGCUGGCGAGUCAGCCAGUAGCAAUGCAGCAUCUCACUCACUCAAUCACCUCAGCAGUUCGGUCCCUUUUUUCAUUGCAUUACUUUCGCUCCAGGAUAGCACUGUCCUGUCAUCCCCAAGCUAACUAUCGAGGUAGGGGGUCGGAUGCCAUCCGUCUCACCUGGUUCUUGACCUGUCGCCCUCAGACCUACAGAGGUUGGGUGUACUGUCGGUGGCCUGUCACCCAGGUUGACGGUGGUAUCUCUCCCUCUGCCUCCCUUUGGACAUGCAUUGUUGCUGGUGAGUCAGCUGGCAGCAGUGUAUCAUACUAUUGCGUGUUUACUAAUCCCCUCUUAGCUUUCAGGCUAAACUAAAAUUAUAAACUAACAGAAGCAGGAUAGAAGCAAGAAAUCAUCAGUAGCCCCUCAACUUAACGAAGACUGAUAUCAACCGCUCUGGUACAAGCAACUCUGAUAAAGUACGACACUGCUGCUUCUCUGGGAAGUCAGCACCAACAGAAAUGGGGACACUCUCUGAUAUGAGUGCUGGAAUUCUCAGCCGUUUUACUCUACAGGCUAAGUUUCUUGUUAUAAUUCUAUUGCUCUGUUCUUUCAUUUGUAUUCUGUCUCACUCUACUGCAUAUUGUAGAUCGUCAGCAUUCAUAGAACCAGGGUCUCAGUUACAGUCCUUCUGUUUGUUGACUAGACACACUUUUUGCAUCAUCUUUCGGUUUUUGACGGCGUUUAGAACACUUCUUGUUUUCUCGAUCGUUACUUGCCUCCGUAUUGGCUGCUAAACUAAAUUUAUAAACUAACAUUCGUUCCACCCCCUUGUGUGUAUACUAACACCCCUAGAUUCCCAGGAACAGGCAUAAAUAUCUACGGAAAUCAAAGCCAAACAGACAGACAGCUACUCAGCCACGAUGCAGGACAACAGAUACUGCUCUGAACCAAGGAUAAGUCUGAUGGAUACAGUCUCCCUAGACAUUCGCACAGAUUACAAGAAUGCCAACAUCAGACAUCACGUCUCUUAUUAAGACAAAGCUCAACUCUCUAUCCAAGUUCCUGAAAUUAGAGUUGUCUAACUGAGAUUCGCAGUCAGACAUGCAGUAUACCCCCCUCGACCAACCCAGCUACUAAUCCGUGUCUACAGGGCGACAGUUUUCCAAAACUGGUUACAUUCUUCCCUCAAGGCGCAGCUCCUACACCUGGUAAAUUCCACUCUAAUAGCACAACCUCUCAAACAGACUCACCGAAGUAAUCUUCAGCCAUCAAAUGCGAAGGGACUAUAGCACCGCUGUCAAACCUGAUCAUGUUACAAGGCAUGACUUUUCUGCCACUACUUCAUCAUUAUAGAUUAGUGAUUACUUAGUGUGUAGAUGAAACGAUAUGAGUGUAGCACACACUGGCUUAUCAAUGAAUGAUUGAUUCAUCCUAUCAGC